rnacentral:rRNA from 1 species
GAUGAACGCUGGCGGCGUGCCUAAUACAUGCGAGUCGAGCGAACGGACGAGAAGCUUGCUUCUCUGAUGUUAGCGGCGGACGGGUGAGUAACACGUGGAUAACCUACCUAUAAGACUGGGAUAACUUCGGGAAACCGGAGCUAAUACCGGAUAAUAUUUUGAACCGCAUGGUUCAAAAGUGAAAGACGGUCUUGCUGUCACUUAUAGAUGGAUCCGCGCUGCAUUAGCUAGUUGGUAAGGUAACGGCUUACCAAGGCAACGAUGCAUAGCCGACCUGAGAGGGGGAUCGGCGAAAUGGGAACUGUGCCACGGGGGAGGGAAGUAAGGGGGGGAGCAGCAGGGAAAGUGCUGAAGUUGUCGAAAGCGUAACUGUGUGUUGUGGCGUAAGUAAUGAUGGUGUACGGAUCGUAAAACUCUGUUAGUAGCGAAAAAAAUAUGUGAAAGUAAAUGAGCACAGAGUGGCGGUAACUAAUGAGAAAGCCACGGCUAACUACGUG